GGAUCACAUCGCAUGCGGAUUUAAAAUUAAAAAUUAAUGAAAAUCUAUCAAAUUUUUCAUGAAUUUUCAUGAAAAAAUUAAAUUUUGGCACACACACAAAGGAAAAAUCAUUAAAAUAAACACUGAAAAAUGUUUUGAUUCCCGCAUACUUUUGUCGUUCGUUGAAGAAAAACACACCUGAUGAUAAAAAAAAUCGAAGAAUUUUCCCCCUCUCCCGGCAUCGCGGAAUUCACGCAAAAAGACCGAACAACCGAAAGAUCAACAGAAAACAGCAAAAGUGGAAAAGUACAAAAAGAUGCGAAAUUUCGAACAAUUUGUCGACACCCCAGACGUAAGUUGUUGUGACGUGCAGUAAUUAUUGUUUUUAUUAAACUGAAGAUGAUGUCAUUGCGAUGAAAAACGCAAGAAAUGCAAGUCUAGGUGAUUCUAUUGACGAGAAAAAUAAUGUGAUUCAAGCAAAACAAAGAUGCUCUUGAGUUUCAAGGAAUCGAUUGAAAAAUGAAAAUCUUGAGAAGC